rnacentral:ncRNA from 1 species
AGCGAAGCUGCUUAGAGAUUGUAGAAUUAUGCACAUGAAGCACAGAAAUGCACCGGCAUGGAAGCCGGGGCAAGGAGAUAUCGAGCCAUGGAUGGCGAGUAUCGACGGUUUCGUCAAGCAUAGAAAAACUGCAGGCAUAAUUCGUACAGACUCUUAGCAGCGUAGC